UCGGGUAUGGUGUAGGGCGCAUGACUCCCAAUUCGUUGCAACUUUGCAUGCAAUAAUGUCGCAGCAGCAGACCGGGGUUCGAUUCCCCGUGCCCGAA